AGACAUCUAAAAUGGAACAAAGGUUCACCGCUAUAGGAUGGGGAUGCGUCUGAUUAGAUAGUCGGCGGGGUAACGGCCCACCGAGUCGACGAUCAGUAGGGGUUCUGAGAGGAAGGUCCCCCACAUUGGAACUGAGACACGGUCCAAACUCCUACGGGAGGCAGCAGUGAGGAAUAUUGGUCAAUGGGCGAGAGCCUGAACCAGCCAAGUAGCGUGCAGGAUGACGGCCCUAUGGGUUGUAAACUGCUUUUAUACAGGGAUAAAGUGACGUACGUGUACGUUUUUGUAGGUACUGUAUGAAUAAGGACCGGCUAAUUCCGUGCCAGCAGCCGCGGUAAUACGGAAGGUCCGGGCGUUAUCCGGAUUUAUUGGGUUUAAAGGGAGCGCAGGCUGAUUAUUAAGCGUGACGUGAAAUGUAGCCGCUCAACGGCUGAACUGCGUCGCGAACUGGUAGUCUUGAGUGAGUUCGAUGUUGGCGGAAUUCGUGGUGUAGCGGUGAAAUGCUUAGAUAUCACGAAGAACUCCGAUUGCGAAGGCAGCCAACAAGGCCUUUACUGACGCUAAAGCUCGAAGGUGCGGG
rnacentral:rRNA from 1 species